UACUACCGAAGCUACGGCAUCAGUAAUGAUGGGUAGGGGAGCUUCCCAUACGGGUUGAAGCAUGACCGUAAGGACAUGUGGACAGUAUGGGAGUGAGAAUGUUGGCAGGAGUAGCGAGAUGUGGGUGGGAAUCCCACAGGCCGUAAACCCAAGGUUUCCAGGGGAAGGUUCGUCCGCCCUGGGUUAGUCGGGACCUAAGCUGAGGCCGAAAGGCGUAGGUGAUGGACAACAGGUU
rnacentral:rRNA from 1 species